UACGGGGGGGGCGAGCGUUAUUCGGAAUUAUUGGGCGUAAAGGGCGCGUAGGCGGCCUGGUGUGUCCAAGGUGAAAUCCCUCGGCUCAACUGAGGAAUUGCCUUUGAAACUACCAGGCUUGAGGCCGGGAGGGGGUAGCGGAAUCCCCAGUGUAGCGGUGAAAUGCGUAGAUAUUGGGAGGAACACCAGUGGCGAAGGCGGCUACCUGGACCGGUUCUGACGCUGAGGUGCGAAAGCGUGGGGAGCAAACAGG
rnacentral:rRNA from 1 species